AAGGCGGACCGGGCGGUCGCUGUCGCAGUCGUGCGGCAGAGGAAAGUCCGGGCACCGAAGGGCACGGCACUCGUGAAGAGCGAGGCCGGGGUCGGGCAACCGAUUCCGGACGGAAAGUGCCACAGAAACGAUACCGCCUCCCGCGCUGUGCGCGGGAAAGCCGGCCGCUUUGCGGCCGGGAGGAAACCGAGGAUGACGCAUCCUCCUAUCCUCCCCGGAGUCACCGACCCGGGCUUCCGGCGGCCGAUGGCCGCCGGGGUAAGGGUGAAAUAGUGCGGCAAGAGCGCACUGGCCCGACCGGUGACGGUCGGGUCGGGCAAACCCUGCCCGGUGCAAGACCAAGCAUGGGAGCCGCAUCGUCUUCGGACGUUGCCGGACCGGCCCGGUCCGAGUGCUCCCGGGUAGGUCGCUUGAGGCCGGCGGGCAACUGCCGGUCCAGAUAAAUGACCGCCCCGCGCUCAGCGCGGACAGAACCCGGCUUACAGGUCCGCCUUCUAA
rnacentral:RNase_P_RNA from 1 species